CCAUGAAAAAUAACAAACAGGUAUACUUAUGAUAAAUAAAUGAUAAAAUCUCAAACUGAUAUACUAUUAAUUAUCACGUGUGACGAUAACAUUUAAUGAAAAUUAAUAUAAAGUAAAUUUGUCAUAAAUAUAUUAGUUUGGAUUUGAAGUAAAUUUAUUGUAUGUAUUAGUUGGUGUAUUUCAUAAUCUUAACCUGUUAUAUUUACUUCUUUUGACUUGUUUUUGUGCAACUCUUUAUCUUCUCCGUUCCUCUAUUGAAACCAAGAGGAAAUAUUGGAUGCUCAAGCCAAUGCCAAUGCUCCAAGUCAUCUGGACCUUGUGGGGGAAGCCCGACGAAAUAUGAGUCGUCCUGAAUCUCCACAUCAGACCUUGCUCCACCCCACCUUUGCUUAUAAAUCAUACCUAUACCAAUAAAAUAAAUAAAUAAAAAUAGAUGGACCGUCUUCUCACGUCAUCAUCUUGACAUUCCAUUAAUCGGAUGCCACGUGUCCAAGUAGAACCUAUAUUGGCCCACUCAUCAGUCUCGUCUCUCCCCCCACCUUCAACUCCCCGGGCUCCCUCUCCUUGAGCUUUGCGACCACCAUAACCUCUUUGAACUCAUCGCCCAUCACCCCGUUCUCUGAGCCCCAGGCCUGCCAUUUCGUCAAACAGCUCCUCUCCGCCGUCUCACUGCCACUCGCAACGUGAUGUCCGACAAGGUCCUACUCGAGUUGCGCGACAACCUGAAGCUUGCCGACCAUGGGCGGCGAUCCGGCUUGGCGGCGAGGGUAGAGCAACGGCGGAGGGCGUGGUGGAACCGCCAUCCAAUGAGAAAGAAAUCAACGUGCCCAUCAAAAUCUCCUUUUCAAUUCCACAAACACCUGAAAUCAUAAAGAAAUACCAGAUUUUUCUCACCAACUCAGGCCAGGGUGAGGUCAGGGUGGUUGGUGGUGGGGGCUUUGUGGGCAUGGCUAUUGACAUUGGCAAUGGCCGCCUGAACUGAAGAAAGGAAAAAGAAGAGAGAGAAAGGAAGAAGGAAAAGAGAGAUACAAGUUGCGGAAGAAAGAAGCAAGAGAGUGACAAUUGAGGCUAAUCUGAGUAUACGGCGAUCAAUGAAUGGAGUGGAGCGUGCCUGACGUGGAGAUCCAAGCUCACCUAAUAUUUUGUCGGGAGAGUCUAGUCAAUAGAUUUGAACGCAAGGUUCGCGUCUUUCUUUAAAAUAGUUCAUGAAUUUAUAUUUUUUUUUGUUUAUGGUUAGCAAAGUUUUAUUAUUUAUUUGUGGUCCCUCAAAGGUAGAUAAUGACUAACACUGUAUAUAUUUGUGCACAUUUGAUGGGAAAAUUAUGGAAAUAGUUUUAAAUUUAUUAUAAUUUUUCCAAUUCAGUCAUAAAUCUUUUUUUUUUCAAUUUAGUCUUAAAUAUUCUAUAAUUAUAUCAAUACAAUCUAUCCAGCCAAUUUUAACCGCUAGUGUUAAUGCGAAUAUUUUUUAAUAAUAUUUUUUCGAACUUUUAUUAAUUUUUUUUCUUUUUUCUCUCCUUCUUCCUCUUUCCUCUUAUCAAAGGCAAGUGUUGAGGCUUGCCCCUGUCGGCCUCUGGUGAGGGCAAGCCUUGCCUAGUAAUAGCGACGUCGCAACCUGUCCAUAGUCGGCAAGGCUCAACUAGGCUAGAGACCACACAAGGUUGUGAGCUAUGGCAAGGUCGGGCAUCGCCCAUGGCCAGCGAGGCUUAACCCUCGCUAGAUCUAACAAGGACGAGCCUUGCCCAACCACUAGUAACCCUUGCC
rnacentral:lncRNA from 1 species